CAGGUAGUGCAUCCAGCUCCAGCUGCAGUUAAUCUGUCACACUGACCAAACGGAACAUGACGCCGACAAGGUGGAUGUGCGCUGAUCUGGUGUCUGGCAUGGCUUGCCAUAGUAUACGACAAACCGGAACUCCACCCAAGUAUAUCACCCGACGAAAAGUCUUACAUUUUUCAACACAGGACCAAUGUGGACAAUGAUCGUAAGACGGCAUGACGGGCGUUCUAUCGGGGACCUCGACCAGCCUUCUAGAUAUGAAGCAGUGAUCAAUGGGCUUUUAUGCACAGCACUGUGACCUCGGUGGUAUUUGUUGAAAACUUUACAUGCUCGACAUAUUUAGCGAAACUAAGUUAUGCUAAGAGGGACGUGCCAGGGUGAUCAGCUGAGAGCAUUGGUAUUGACUGUGAAGGAUUCCACCCUCGACACAGCGAACCAGUGAGCAAAUCUAAUCAGCCUUGGGAAAGGGAUCAGAAAUAAUCAAAUAAACUUUAAGAGACAGAGAUCUGUAUUUGGUGCGAUUCCGAGGACAAAUACUAGAAUACUAAUGAAGAAAUCCAAGACCGCCACUGUUAAUUUGUACAUUUAGCGAGGGAAAGGUGUCAGCGUAAAAGAGAAAAUCAAAUAGCCCGGAAUAAGUCGGCCAGUGACAAGAGAUGGAUGCCGAACAAA